AGGAAAUCGAGGCAAAGAUAAGUAAGUUCCCUGAGAAUGCACAUUAAGAGAGCUGCAGUCUAACUGUAGAGAUGGGAGCCUCAGCAACAUUGGUGUCCUGAGAGCUGAAAUUGGUGAGCUGGUGAGAUCCAGUGCUGAUGGUGUGAAGAAGAAAAUGAAAUGAGAAGAAGACAGGAAGAGCAAGAGAAUGAGUGGAAGUCAAGGAGAGAGAAGUUCAAGGGUGAAAGUCAAGAGGAAAGAAAGAGACAUUGCCAUUAUUCCAAGUGGGAGACCCUCCAGAGAGGAGGUCUAGGAUGGCAGCUCCCCCACCAAAGCAAAGGCCAGAAGAAAGUGGGCCAACUCCACGAUUGCCAUGUGUGGAGCCCAAAGGUGCCAGCCAUGUAAGGGAUGGAGGAACUGAUUAAGCAGUAGGCAUGGGACCAAAACAGGAGUGUGCUGUCCACUUGCACAACCCACAACAGGAAAUGGGACCAAAGAGCUCCAGAUCGGAAGCUUUCUCAAGAGCAGCAGAGGCAGUGGUUUUACAGCUCACGCAGCUCUGAGAGGCCACAUGAUUUAUCCACAAGUACCCAACAUCUGUGUCUCAAUGCUUGUCCCUGCAGUCCCUGUUCUACCCCAUGAGCCAACAACUAAAGCUUUCUGUUCCACCUGGACCGUGGGGGAAGCAUUUGGAAUCUCCAUCGUAAGUUCUGAUUGGUCAGUAGUUGUCCAAAUACUAUUUUUAACUAUCGAAUAUCAUGCUUGGUUACAAAACACUCAGUUUGACCAUGUGCUAUGAAAUCAAUGCUAUAAUUACUAUGUAGAUUUUCCAUCAAUCCAGUGAAUAUAUCUAUUAGGAAGUGAUAAGGGCCAAGCCUUGUUCCAAGCACAGGAAGAAUAAUGGAGAAUAAAAUCUGGGAGGGAUCUGUGCAAGAUUCCUACCUUCUAGGCCUGUGCAGGAAGCUCUAUGCUCA
rnacentral:lncRNA from 1 species